GUUAUUUUGGCAGAAUAGUGCAAUAAAUUUAGAAUUUAUAUAUAUAUAUAUUAAUUUAUAUAAGUAAUA
rnacentral:tRNA from 1 species